UUUAGUGGUAAAACUAGCCUUCCAAGCUAACG
rnacentral:tRNA from 4 species